rnacentral:rRNA from 1 species
AGACGGAAAGACCCCGUGAACCUUUACUAUAGCUUGACACUGAACAUUGAGCCUUGAUGUGUAGGAUAGGUGGGAGGCUUUGAAGUGUGGACGCCAGUCUGCAUGGAGCCGACCUUGAAAUACCACCCUUUAAUGUUUGAUGUUCUAACGUGGACCCGUAAUCCGGGUUGCGGACAGUGUCUGGUGGGUAGUUUGACUGGGGCGGUCUCCUCCUAAAGAGUAACGGAGGAGCACGAAGGUUGGCUAAUCCUGGUCGGACAUCAGGAGGUUAGUGCAAUGGCAUAAGCCAGCUUGACUGCGAGCGUGACGGCGCGAGCAGGUGCGAAAGCAGGUCAUAGUGAUCCGGUGGUUCUGAAUGGAAGGGCCAUCGCUCAACGGAUAAAAGGUACUCCGGGGAUAACAGGCUGAUACCGCCCAAGAGUUCAUAUCGACGGCGGUGUUUGGCACCUCGAUGUCGGCUCAUCACAUCCUGGGGCUGAAGUAGGUCCCAAGGGUAUGGCUGUUCGCCAUUUAAAGUGGUACGCGAGCUGGGUUUAGAACGUCGUGAGACAGUUCGGUCCCUAUCUGCCGUGGGCGCUGGAGAAUUGAGGGGGGCUGCUCCUAGUACGAGAGGACCGGAGUGGACGCAUCACUGGUGUUCGGGUUGUCAUGCCAAUGGCACUGCCCGGUAGCUAAAUGCGGAAGAGAUAAGUGCUGAAAGCAUCUAAGCACGAAACUUGCCCCGAGAUGAGUUCUCCCUGACUCCUUGAGAGUCCUGAAGGAACGUUGAAGACGACGACGUUGAUAGGCCGGGUGUGUAAGCGCAGCGAUGCGUUGAGCUAACCGGUACUAAUGAACCGUGAGGCUUAACCUUACAACGCCGAAG